CCCUUAGAUGUUCUGGGCCGCACGCGCGCUACACUGAUGCAUUCAACGAGUCUAAAACCUGCUCUGAUAGGGGUGGGUAAUCUUUUGAAUGUGCAUCGUGAUUGGGAUAGAUGAUUGAAAUUUUUCAUCUUCAACGAGGAAUGCCUAGUAAACGCAAGUCAUCAGCUUGCAUUGAUUACGUCCCUGCCCUUUGUACACAUCGCCCGUCGCUCCUACCGAUUGAAUGAUCCGAUGAAUAUCAUGGAUUGAGGAUGCAAGUAGGUUCACCUAUCUUCAUCUUCGAGAAGUGAAGUAAAUCUUAUCAUUUAGAGGAAGGAGAAGUCGUAACA
rnacentral:rRNA from 1 species